UACGUAGGGGGCAAGCGUUGUCCGGAAUCAUUGGGCGUAAAGAGCGUGUAGGCGGCCCGAUAAGUCCGCUGUGAAAGUCCAGGGCUCAACCCUGGGAUGCCGGUGGAUACUGUCGGGCUCGAGUCCGGAAGAGGCGAGUGGAAUUCCUGGUGUAGCGGUGAAAUGCGCAGAUAUCAGGAGGAACACCUGAGGUGAAGACGGGUUGCUGGGCUGACACUGACGCUGAGGCGCGAAAGCCAGGGGAGCAAACGGG
rnacentral:rRNA from 1 species